UGGGGAAUAUUGCACAAUGGGCGAAAGCCUGAUGCAGCAACGCCGCGUGAGUGAUGAAGGCCUUCGGGUUGUAAAGCUCUGUCUUUUGGGACGAUAAUGACGGUACCAAAGGAGGAAGCCACGGCUAACUACGUGCCAGCAGCCGCGGUAAUACGUAGGUGGCAAGCGUUGUCCGGAUUUACUGGGCGUAAAGGAUGCGUAGGCGGAUUUUUAAGUGAGAUGUGAAAUACCCGGGCUUAACUUGGGUGCUGCAUUUCAAACUGGGAAUCUAGAGUGCGGGAGAGGAGAAUGGAAUUCCUAGUGUAGCGGUGAAAUGCGUAGAGAUUAGGAAGAACACCAGUGGCGAAGGCGAUUCUCUGGACCGUAACUGACGCUGAGGCAUGAAAGCGUGGGUAGCAAACAGGAUUAGAUACCCUGGUAGUCCACGCCGUAAACGAUGAGUACUAGGUGUAGGAGGUAUCGACCCCUUCUGUGCCGCAGUUAACACAAUCAAGUACUCCGCCUGGGAAGUACGAUCGCAAGAUUAAAACUCAAAUGAAUUGACGGGGUCAAUAGCUGUUUCC
rnacentral:rRNA from 1 species